rnacentral:ncRNA from 1 species
UUAAAUUAGGGGAGCUGAGAAGUGUGGUCUGUAUCUGGACACUUGGGCCUCAUGGAGCUAAUAGUGUAACCUCCCCUCUUAAAA